UGUCGUCAGCUCGUGUCGUGAGAUGUUGGGUUAAGUCCCGCAACGAGCGCAACCCUCAUCCUUAGUUGCCAUCAGGUAAUGCUGAGUACUUUAAGGAAACUGCCAGUGAUAAGCUGGAGGAAGGUGGGGAUGAUGUCAAGUCAUCAUGGCCUUUAUGGAGUGGGCUACACACGUGCUACAAUGGUGUCUACAAUGGGCUGCAAGGUGCGCAAGCCUAAGCUAAUCCCUAAAAGACAUCUCAGUUCGGAUUGUACUCUGCAACUCGAGUACAUGAAGUUGGAAUCGCUAGUAAUCGUGGAUCAGCAUGCCACGGUGAAUACGUUCUCGGGUCUUGUACACACUGCCCGUCACGCCUGGGAAUUGA
rnacentral:rRNA from 1 species